rnacentral:misc_RNA from 1 species
AUCGUUGUGUCUUUGAAAUAUUAUAAAAAGCCGCAACUUUUGCAUGUUCUUCGCUAAGUGUUUUGUUAAGAACUUUAGUUAGUGUUUCACCAAAUGAAUAAAUCAAUCUUGCUAAUCCAAUUUUAGUCUCCGCGUUAAAUCAUUUGAGAAUAUUUACCAGAAUAAGCUUUGUCGAAUUUCGGAAGUCAAAUAUACGUAGCUAAGGCUACAAGUUUUGUACUCAACAAUAAAAGUGUUGUAAAGGAAAAGAAACUAAUUUAAACGCAAGCAAGUAACAACGUUGUUGAAAACGAAAAAGAAGUAUUUUUUGAAGAUGUCUUAUAAAAGUACGUUGCUUAUUGUUUGCAUUUUGUUUGGUACUAUUCUUGGAUUUGAUAUCAGUGAGAAUAGUGUCAGUCUUACCAAUGAGGACAAUAUCAAACUUUCUAGCGAGGUUCUAGCUAAAAAACAAGAGUCAGAACUGGAACAAUUACUUCAGACUUUUCAAAAGGAAAACCGUAAUUUUUCUCCAGAGUUGAAAAGAAGUGGAAACGACGAAAGCGUUAACUCAAACAAAAUUAGCGAUAAAACUAGUGAUGAUUUUUUACAGUUAAAAGAACUUUUAAAGGAAAUAGAUAAAAGAUUUAAGCAAGACGAGAGUUCAAACGUUAACGAUGAGUCGAUAAACUUUUUUGAAAAUUUAGAUUUAAAGCAAGAAAAAACUGAAAAUUCCAUUGAAAGCAAUAAAAUACGGAAAGAACUGAUUAAUAAUGAUAUUAAGAAACGUUUCAGCUUGUACAUGGAACAACGAAACUCUUUGAAGAAACUAGAAAAACUUCUAAAUGAUCUUACAAGUGUCUCCAAAAAUACUGAAAAACGAAGUCGCCCGGAUUGUAUAAUAUGGCAAGGCGACAAAUGCGUUCGGAUGUGUAGACCGUCAGUGUGGUGUGGUGGUUAACACCUUAUUUGUAUAAGUUCAACAUUUUUGUUGUAUACUUAUACAUAAAAAGAUUUUGUGUGAAUAACCAUGUGAAUAUAAAAUACGAGUGAGCUUUAAAAUUUGUUCAUCAUAGAAGCGAAGUUUUGUACAGCCUACUGUUAUUUAUAUAAAAACACCGCCUUUCCUCAUAGCAACGUUUAAUAAUAACCAAACAAAAAAGUUAUACUAAGGUUUUUAUGUCAAAUAAAGUGUGAAAAUUUAAGUUAAAUAAGAACAAUCAAGAGGCAGUUAUGAAAUUUUUUUUCGUAUCAUAGUUUGUUAUCAUUGUAAUUUUCAUAGUUUUGGAUAUGGGUGGACAAGGUGGGUGGUGUUUUUCAAAUAAUGUCAGUUUAUUGUGAUUAUUUAGGUUUACAACAAGUUCUUUGGUUUUGAUAGUUAUUUUAAAAUGUUACGACUAUAAGUUGAACU